rfam:Sphingopyxis macrogoltabida strain EY-1, complete genome.
ACGGGCCGACGCGGACGCCCGUUCAGACGGUGUCCGUCCAAGUCCGC